UACGUAGGGCGCAAGCGUUAUCCGGAUUCACUGGGUUUAAAGGGUGCGUAGGCGGAUUGGUAAGUCCGUGGUGAAAUCUCUAAGCUUAACUUGGAAACUGCCAUGGAUACUAUUAGUCUUGAAUAUUGUGGAGGUUAGCGGAAUAUGUCAUGUAGCGGUGAAAUGCAUAGAUAUGACAUAGAACACCAAUUGCGAAGGCAGCUGGCUACACAAAUAUUGACGCUGAUGCACGAAAGCGUGGGGAUCAAACAGG
rnacentral:rRNA from 1 species